rnacentral:rRNA from 1 species
GACGAACGCUGGCGGCGUGCUUAACACAUGCAAGUCGAACGAUGAACCGGUUUCGGCCGGGGAUUAGUGGCGAACGGGUGAGUAACACGUGGGCAAUCUGCCCUGCACUCUGGGACAAGCCCUGGAAACGGGGUCUAAUACCGGAUAUGACCACCGACCGCAUGGUCUGGUGGUGGAAAGCUCCGGCGGUGCAGGAUGAGCCCGCGGCCUAUCAGCUUGUUGGUGGGGUGAUGGCCUACCAAGGCGACGACGGGUAGCCGGCCUGAGAGGGCGACCGGCCACACUGGGACUGAGACACGGCCCAGACUCCUACGGGAGGCAGCAGUGGGGAAUAUUGCACAAUGGGCGAAAGCCUGAUGCAGCGACGCCGCGUGAGGGAUGACGGCCUUCGGGUUGUAAACCUCUUUCAGCAGGGAAGAAGCGAGAGUGACGGUACCUGCAGAAGAAGCGCCGGCUAACUACGUGCCAGCAGCCGCAGU